rnacentral:rRNA from 1 species
UACGGAGGGUGCGAGCGUUAAUCGGAAUCACUGGGCGUAAAGCGUGCGUAGGCGGUGUGGUAAGUCAGACGUGAAAGCCCUCGGCUCAACCGAGGAAUUGCGUUUGAAACUGCCACACUUGAGUCUCGGAGAGGUUGGCGGAAUUCCAGGUGUAGGAGUGAAAUCCGUAGAUAUCUGGAGGAACACCGGUGGCGAAGGCGGCCAACUGGACGAGUACUGACGCUGAGGUACGAAAGCGUGGGGAGCAAACAGG